rnacentral:misc_RNA from 1 species
GAUGAAGAACGUAGCGAAAUGCGAUAAGUAAUGUGAAUUGCAGAAUUCAGUGAAUCAUCGAAUCUUUGAACGCACCUUGCACCCUUUGGCUAUUCCGAAGGGUAUGCCUGUUUGAGUAUCAUGAACACCUCAACUCUCAUGGUUUGCCAUGAUGAGCUUGGACUUUGGGGGUCUUGCUGGCCUGUGGUCAGCUCCUCUCAAAUGGAUUAGCUUGCCAGUGUUUGGUGGCAUCACAGGUGUGAUAACUAUCUACGCUUGUGGUUUUCCACCAGGUAACCUUCAGCAAUGGGGGUUCGCUGGGGCUCAUAAAUGUCUCUCCCCAGUGAGGACAGCUCUUUGAACGUUUGAUCUCAAAUAAGGUAGGACUACCCGCUGAACUUAAGCAUAUCAAUAAGCGGAGGA